rnacentral:tRNA from 5 species
GGGUCUGUAGCUCAGUUGGUCAGAGCGCACCCCUGAUAAGGGUGAGGUCGGAGGUUCAAAUCCUCCCAGACCCACCA